CCAAGGAAUUAAUUCAAAAGAAGUAUGAACUGGCUGUGAACACAUCAGAUGAGAACAAAAGGAAGUUACAGGACUGGCUAUAGCAUGUUGUGGAGAGGGUGGCUUCUCAUAUGGAGGGCUGUAGAGGAGCCAACAGUACCAGCUUGAGCUAGGACCAGAUGAAACUACAGCUGCUAGCGUUGCACAGUUGCACGUACACCAAAGGGGAGUCUGGCUACAAGUCAAUCACUUUAUGCUGCAUCAGCAGCCACCACAGCCCGUUGAGCUAUCUUGCACAGCAGCGGGCUGCAUGGUGGUGAUCUCCCCUUGACACAUCUCAAGGUUAGUCCUCGAGAUCGAGAGAUCCCUUACCUGGCAUCCGAUAUCGGCAGCGAGGAACUCUGAUAGUUGAAGUAGCAGUAUCUUGCUUCUCAUGGGCAGCCACCCCACUUAAUGCGGAAUGAAUUGUCUGUAUUCAACACCUGGCAUGUUCUGGUUGGCAUCCGAAUUUUGUUUCAUACUGUAGCAGAGAGCUCCUACUGCAAUAAGUCCUAGUUCUGAGCGGAGUCUGAAAACAAUGCUGAGCCCAAGGAGCAAGACUAAGAGUGAAAGACGGCAACACCGACACAACCUUCAAAGUCACAGUAAACCAGAGAGCUCUUUCUGCCUUAGUGCGUGUUGUCUCUCUGUAAAUGCCUCGGAGAGCCUAAAUCUGAAAUGUCUACCUGCUAAACCUCUGCCCCCUGCCCCCCCCCUUAAAAUAACCCAAGAAACCUGUUUAGAUUACUGCAUUAAUAUUAAUAGAAUUAUUGACGUAGUAUCUGGUCAAGGGCUCUACUAAAAUGCAUUCUACACUAGUGACUGUAGGGGACUGCUGCAAGAAUAUGGUCAACAUACUGGCUUUGUAGCGCUGGGUUUAUGGUGACAGACUGGACCAGACACAGUAGAGGAAGAAAAAGGAGAAAGUACUGCUGAAAGACCAGAGACGCACGAGAUGGCUGAGGAAAACGCCAGAGUUACUCCAAUAUUUGAAGCAUUUGUGAAUGAAGAUCUUUUGACCAAUACAGUAGAAGACCCAGAUGUGUCCAGAGGUAAAGCCGGUUCUUCAGGAUAAGACUGUACCUAUUCUAGCACAGCUGUAAGAAACUGUAGGACCUAGCUCUACGUGGCUUCCAUUAAGGACACCUCAUGGCAACUAUACACACCCACAAGGAUCAUGGGGUCCAACUCUGAGUCUGCUACCAUUUCAAAGCACUUUUUAUACAAAUGGAUUUAUCAGACAUACUUCAUGUAUUUAAGUGGUUAAUAAAAAGACUUCCUAGUGCUGUAAGGCGUUUUGUUCUGAAGAGUGACUAAAACCAGGACUCUGCUUUCUUUUACAUAAACAGACUUAUUUUCAGAGGCUUUUCAGUCAAGGCUGAGGCCUUGAAAAUGACAGCCUUGGCAAGAUUGAUGCUUUUAGAAGAUCCUGGUUUUAAGAUACAAAGAAAAGAAAAGAUUAUUCCUGAAGUGUUCA